UUUAUUUCUGCUGUGCAUGUCACUUAAUUCACCGACUCUGCCACACCCUCCACUACAAUCAGGACUAUCACACACACCUGCUACUCACCUGCACACACACCUGAUUCCCAUCUACCCAGAUCCCAACACAUUCACUGAGCAGAUCCCAUGCAAGACUCUCCAGCGUUUAUCUUUUGGACCUGCCUGUUCUGGACUCUUUGCCUGGACUGCAGCGCCCGCCAACGUUACCAGAAAAUGUGAUUUCUCAAAGCACGCCUCCCUCAAGAUUUGCUCUGCCUCCAACGACAGCUUUUUCUGGUUAACCACACAUUUACGGUCAAGGGGUGCCACUUAGCCCGGAGGAGGGGGAUGAAAAGCACAUGUGACACUGGAUCCUGGCAGGGCUAAUGGUCAUUACUCGGCCUCGUAGAUAUGCUGUGACUGAGCAGUAACCUCCGUGUCUGUGAAGUGAAGUCAAAAACUGCAGUUCCUCAAACGUCCACUUGAGGCUGGCUCCAGAAGUGAGUCAGUCUCCAUAA